rnacentral:rRNA from 1 species
UACGGGGGGAGCAAGCGUUGUUCGGAUUUACUGGGCGUAAAGGGCGCGUAGGCGGCCACCGCAAGUCGACUGUGAAAUCUCCGGGCUUAACCCGGAAAGGUCAGCCGAUACUGCGGGGCUAGAGUGCAGAAGGGGCAACUGGAAUUCUCGGUGUAGCGGUGAAAUGCGUAGAUAUCGGGAAGAACACCCGUGGCGAAGGCGGCUCUCUGGGACGGUACUGACGCUGAGACGCGAAAGCGUGGGGAGCGAACAGG